UGUGGACUGAACUUCGGUCAAGGGAAGAUUAUGAAAGCGGCGGACGGGUGAGUAACGCGUGAGCAACCUGCCCUGUACAGGGGGAUAGCCACUGGAAACGGUGAUUAAUACCCCAUAACCCCAAAGGACCGCAUGGUCCAAUGGGCAAAGUCCAAACGGUACAGGAUGGGCUCGCGUCUGAUUAGCUAGUUGGUGAGGUAACGGCUCACCAAGGUGACGAUCAGUAGCCGACCUGAGAGGGUGAACGGCCACACUGGAACUGAGACACGGUCCAGACUCCUACGGGAGGCAGCAGUGGGGAAUAUUGCACAAUGGGCGCAAGCCUGAUGCAGCAACGCCGCGUGAGUGAAGAAGGCCUUCGGGUCGUAAAACUCUGUCCUAAGGGAAGAAGAAGUGACGGUACCUUAGGAGGAAGCCCCGGCUAACUACGUGCCAGCAGCCGCGGUAAUACGUAGGGGGCAAGCGUUAUCCGGAAUCACUGGGCGUAAAGGGUGCGUAGGCGGCUGAUCAAGCCAGGGGUGAAAGGCUGUGGCUUAACCAUGGUAAGCCUUUGGAACUGGUCAGCUUGAGUGCAGGAGAGGAAAGCGGAAUUCCUAGUGUAGCGGUGAAAUGCGUAGAUAUUAGGAGGAACACCCGUGGCGAAGGCGGCUUUCUGGACUGUAACUGACGCUGAGGCACGAAAGCGUGGGGAGCAAACAGGAUUAGAUACCCUGGUAGUCCACGCUGUAAACGAUGAAUACUAGGUGUCGGGGGUCAAAGCCCGGUGCCGCAGCUAACGCAUAAGUA
rnacentral:rRNA from 1 species